AGCAGCCGCGGUAAUCCCAGCUCCAAUAGCGUAUAUUAAAGUUGCUGCAGUUAAAAAGCUCGUAGUUGAAUUUCGGGACUAAUAUGUCGGUCGUGCCUCGGUACGUACUGGUUUAUUGGUUUCUCCUUUCUGAAGAACCAUGAUGUCAUUUAUUUGGUGUCGUGGGGAAUCAGGACUGUUACUUUGAAAAAAUUAGAGUGUUUAAAGCAAGCUAACGCUUGAAUACAUUAGCAUGGAAUAAUGAAAUAGGACGUUCGAUCCUAUUUUGUUGGUUUCUAGGAUUGACGUAAUGAUUAAUAGGGAUAGUUGGGGGGCAUUAGUAUUCAAUUGUCAGAGGUGAAAUUCUUGGAUUUAUUGAAGACUAACUACUGCGAAAGCAUUUGCCAAGGAUGUUUUCAUUAAUCAAGAACGAAAGUUAGGGGAUCGAAGACGAUCAGAUACCGUCGUAGUCUUAACCAUAAACUAUGCCGACUA
rnacentral:rRNA from 1 species